rnacentral:tRNA from 1 species
UCCGAAGUAGCUCAGUCGGUAGAGCGCCCGCCUGUUAAGCGGGUGGUCGGUGGUUCGAACCCACCUUUCGGAGCCA